rnacentral:rRNA from 1 species
GGUAGGGGCAACUCUACUUCAGUGGCGGACGGGUGAGGAAUGCGUCGGAAUCUACCCUAUGGUGGGGGAUAACACAGGGAAACUUGUGCUAAUACCGCAUGACGUCGAGAGACCAAAGCAGGGGACCGCAAGGCCUUGCGCGAUAGGAUGAGCCGACGCCCGCUUAGCUAGUUGGUAGGGUAAAGGCCUACCAAGGCGACGAUCGGUAGCUGGUCUGAGAGGAUGAUCAGCCACACUGGGACUGAGACACGGCCCAGACUCCUACGGGAGGCAGCAGUGGGGAAUAUUGGACAAUGGGCGCAAGCCUGAUCCAGCAAUGCCGCGUGUGUGAAGAAGGCCUGCGGGUUGUAAAGCACUUUUGUUCGGGAAGAAAACGGAUCGGUUAAUACCCGGUUCGGAUGACGGUACCGAAAGAAUAAGCACCGGCUAACUUCGUGCCAGCAGCCGCGGUAAUACGAAGGGUGCAAGCGUUAAUCGGAAUUACUGGGCGUAAAGCGUGCGUAGGCGGCUUUUUAAGUCGGAUGUGAAAUCCCCGGGCUCAACCUGGGAAUGGCAUCCGAUACUGGGGAGCUAGAGUUUGGGAGAGGGUGGUGGAAUUCCCGGUGUAGCGGUGAAAUGCGUAGAGAUCGGGAGGAACAUCAGUGGCGAAGGCGGCCACCUGGCCUAAAACUGGCGCUGAGGCACGAAAGCGUGGGGAGCAAACAGGAUUAGAUACCCUGGUAGUCCACGCCCUAAACGAUGAGAACUGGACGUUGGGAGGAAUUCGCCUCUUAGUGUCGAAGCUAACGCGUGAAGUUCUC